rnacentral:rRNA from 1 species
CCUACGGGAGGCAGCAGUGAGGAAUAUUGGUCAAUGGGCGGAAGCCUGAACCAGCCAAGUAGCGUGCAGGAUGACGGCCCUACGGGUUGUAAACUGCUUUUAUAUGGGAAUAAAAUGUUCCACGUGUGGGAUUUUGUAUGUACCAUAUGAAUAAGUAUCGGCUAACUCCGUGCCAGCAGCCGCGGUAAUACGGAGGAUCCGAGCGUUAUCCGGAUUUCUUGGGUUUAAAGGGAGCGUAGGUGGAUUGUUAAGUCAGUUGUGAAAGUGUGCGGCGCAACCGUAAAAUUGCAGUUGAGACUGGCAGUCUUGAGUACAGUAGAGGUGGGCGGAAUUCGUGGUGUAGCGGUGAAAUGCUUAGAUAUCACGAAGAACUCCGAUUGCGAAGGCAGCUCACUGGACUGCAACUGACACUGAGGCUCGAAAGUGUGGGUAUCAAACAGGAUUAGAUACCCUAGUAGUC